rnacentral:antisense_RNA from 1 species
CUUCAACGAGCCCAGCCACAGCGGCUGUUCGGGAUCACGCUGCUGUCCGUAGGUGGCGAGGAGCGCCUCGGCCUC